UGCAGUCGAGCGGUAGAGAGAAGCUUGCUUCUCUUGAGAGCGGCGGACGGGUGAGUAAUGCCUAGGAAUCUGCCUGGUAGUGGGGGAUAACGUUCGGAAACGGACGCUAAUACCGCAUACGUCCUACGGGAGAAAGCAGGGGACCUUCGGGCCUUGCGCUAUCAGAUGAGCCUAGGUCGGAUUAGCUAGUUGGUGAGGUAAUGGCUCACCAAGGCGACGAUCCGUAACUGGUCUGAGAGGAUGAUCAGUCACACUGGAACUGAGACACGGUCCAGACUCCUACGGGAGGCAGCAGUGGGGAAUAUUGGACAAUGGGCGAAAGCCUGAUCCAGCCAUGCCGCGUGUGUGAAGAAGGUCUUCGGAUUGUAAAGCACUUUAAGUUGGGAGGAAGGGCAGUUACCUAAUACGUGAUUGUUUUGACGUUACCGACAGAAUAAGCACCGGCUAACUCUCGUGCC
rnacentral:rRNA from 1 species